UCGUAACAAGGUCUCCGUUGGUGAACCAGCGGAGGGAUCAUUACUGAGUUUACGCUCUACAACCCUUUGUGAACAUACCUAUAACUGUUGCUUCGGCGGGUAGGGUCUCCGUGACCCUCCCGGCCUCCCGCCCCCGGGCGGGUCGGCGCCCGCCGGAGGAUAACCAAACUCUGAUUUAACGACGUUUCUUCUGAGUGGUACAAGCAAAUAAUCAAAACUUUUAACAACGGAUCUCUUGGUUCUGGCAUCGAUGAAGAACGCAGCGAAAUGCGAUAAGUAAUGUGAAUUGCAGAAUUCAGUGAAUCAUCGAAUCUUUGAACGCACAUUGCGCCCGCCAGCAUUCUGGCGGGCAUGCCUGUUCGAGCGUCAUUUCAACCCUCAAGCUCUGCUUGGUGUUGGGGCCCUACAGCCGAUGUAGGCCCUCAAAGGUAGUGGCGGACCCUCCCGGAGCCUCCUUUGCGUAGUAACUUUACGUCUCGCACUGGGAUCCGGAGGGACUCUUGCCGUAAAACCCCCAAUUUUCCAAAGGUUGACCUCGGAUCAGGUAGGAAUACCCGCUGAACUUAAGCAUAUCAA
rnacentral:rRNA from 5 species